GGUCGGAUAAGGCGCAAGCGCCGCAUCCGACAAGCGAUGCCUGAUGUGACGUUUAACGUGUCUUAUCAGGCC
rfam:Escherichia coli str. K-12 substr. MG1655, complete genome.